UACGUAGGGGGCAAGCGUUGUCCGGAAUUACUGGGUGUAAAGCGCGUGUAGGUGGUUGGCCAAGUCUGUGGUGAAAUCGCCCGGCUCAACUGGGCGAGGUCCGUGGAAACUGGUCGACUGGAGGACGGUAGAGGCGAGUGGAAUUCCCGGUGUAGUGGUGAAAUGCGCAGAGAUCGGGAGGAACACCAGUGGCGAAGGCGGCUCGCUGGGCCGGUCCUGACACUGAGACGCGAAGGCGUGGGGAGCGAACGGG
rnacentral:rRNA from 1 species